AACUGUGAGUUCAGAGACGCAGCUCGC
rnacentral:sRNA from 1 species